rnacentral:rRNA from 1 species
GACGAGUCCUUAACUGACGCUAAAGCUCGAAAGUGCGGGUAUCGAACAGGAUUAGAUACCCUGGUAGUCCGCACGGUAAACGAUGGAUGCCCGCUGUCUGCGAUACACUGUAGGCGGCCAAGAGAAAUCGUUAAGCAUCCCACCUGGGGAGUACGCCGGCAACGGUGAAACUCAAAGGAAUUGACGGGGGCCCGCACAAGCGGAGGAACAUGUGGUUUAAUUCGAUGAUACGCGAGGAACCUUACCCGGGCUUGAACUGCAGGCGAACGAUACAGAGAUGUUGAGGCCCUUCGGGGCGCCUGUGGAGGUGCUGCAUGGUUGUCGUCAGCUCGUGCCGUGAGGUGUCGGCUUAAGUGCCAUAACGAGCGCAACCCCUUUCUCUAGUUGCCAUCAGGUAAUGCUGGGCACUCUGGAGACACUGCCACCGUAAGGUGUGAGGAAGGUGGGGAUGACGUCAAAUCAGCACGGCCCUUACGUCCGGGGCUACACACGUGUUACAAUGGGUGGUACAGAGAGUGGGUGCAUCGCAAGGUGCAUCUAAUCAUGAAAGCCAUCCUCAGUUCGGAUUGGGGUCUGCAACCCGACCCCAUGAAGCUGGAU